AGGUUAUCCGAGUGGUUUCUGCUAAAGAAACCUUUUGUCAGUCCUAGAAACACUAACGAAUAAGGGGUGGGCAAGUUCUGGUGUCAGCCGCCGCGGUAAAACCAGCACCUCAAGUGGUCAGGAUGAUUAUUGGGCCUAAAGCAUCCGUAGCUCGUUUUGUAAGUUUUCGGUUAAAUCCAUGCGCUUAACGUAUGGGCUGCCGGGAAUACUGCAUAACUAGGAAGUGGGAGAGGUAGACGGUACUCGGGAGGAAGGGGUAAAAUCCUUUGAUCUCUUGAUGACCACCUGUGGCGAAGGCGGUCUACCAGAACACGUUCGACGGUGAGGGAUGAAAGCUGGGGGAGCAAACCGGAUUAGAUACCCGGGUAGUCCCAGCUGUAAACUAUGUAAACUCAGUGAUGCAUUGGCUUAUGGCCAAUGCAGUGCUGCAGGGAAGCCGUUAAGUUUGCCGCCUGGGAAGUACGUACGCAAGUAUGAAACUUAAAGGAAUUGGCGGGGGAGCACCACAAGGGGUGAAGCCUGCGGUUCAAUUGGAGUCAACGCCAGAAAUCUUACCCGGAGAGACAGCAGAAUGAAGGUCAAGCUGAAGACUUUACCAGACAAGCUGAGAGGUGGUGCAUGGCCGUCGCCAGCUCGUGCCGUGAGAUGUCCUGUUAAGUCAGGUAACGAGCGAGAUCCCUGCCUCUAGUUGCCACCAUUACUCUCAGGAGUAGUGGGGCGAAUUAGCGGGACCGCCGCAGUUAAUGCGGA
rnacentral:rRNA from 1 species